rnacentral:rRNA from 1 species
CACGUAGGGCGCAAGCGUUUGUCCGGAAUCAUUGGGCGUAAAGAGCGUGUAGGCGGCUUGGUAAGUCCGCUGUGAAAGUCCAGGGCUCAACCCUGGAAUGCCGGUGGAAACUGUCGAGCUAGAGUCCGGAAGAGGAGAGUGGAAUUCCUGGUGUAGCGGUGAAAUGCGCAGAUAUCAGGAGGAACACCCGUGGCGAAAGCGGCUCUCGUGGGACGGUACUGACGCUGAGACGCGAAAGCGUGGGGAGCAAACAGG